rnacentral:rRNA from 1 species
AUUGAACGCUGGCGGCAUGCUUUACACAUGCAAGUCGAACGGUAACAGGCCGCAAGGCGCUGACGAGUGGCGAACGGGUGAGUAAUGCAUCGGAACGUGCCCAGUCGUGGGGGAUAACGCAGCGAAAGCUGCGCUAAUACCGCAUACGAUCUAUGGAUGAAAGCGGGGGACCGUAAGGCCUCGCGCGAUUGGAGCGGCCGAUGUCAGAUUAGGUAGUUGGUGGGGUAAAGGCUCACCAAGCCAACGAUCUGUAGCUGGUCUGAGAGGACGACCAGCCACACUGGGACUGAGACACGGCCCAGACUCCUACGGGAGGCAGCAGUGGGGAAUUUUGGACAAUGGGCGCAAGCCUGAUCCAGCAAUGCCGCGUGCAGGAAGAAGGCCUUCGGGUUGUAAACUGCUUUUGUACGGAACGAAAAGGCUCUGGCUAAUACCUGGGGCUCAUGACGGUACCGUAAGAAUAAGCACCGGCUAACUACGUGCCAGCCGCCGCAGUAAAAC